rnacentral:rRNA from 1 species
GAUGAACGCUAGCGGCAGGCUUAAUACAUGCAAGUCGAGGGGCAGCAGUCCCGCAGCAAUGCGGGAGCUGGCGACCGGCAAACGGGUGCGGAACACGUACAGAACCUUCCUUCGAGCGGGGAAUAGCCCAGAGAAAUUUGGAUUAAUACCCCAUAGCAUUACGAAGUGGCAUCACUUUGUAAUUAAAGAUUUAUCACUCGAAGAUGGCUGUGCGGCUGAUUAGGUAGUUGGCGGAGUAACGGCCCCACCAAGCCUUCGAUCAGUAACUGGUGUGAGAGCACGACCAGUCACACGGGCACUGAGACACGGGCCCGACUCCUACGGGAGGCAGCAGUAAGGAAUAUUGGUCAAUGGACGAAAGUCUGAACCAGCCAUGCCGCGUGGAGGAUGAAGGUCCUCUGUAUU